GAAACGGUGGCUAAUACCGCAUAACGUCGCAAGACCAAAGAGGGGGACCUUCGGGCCUCUUGCCAUCAGAUGUGCCCAGAUGGGAUUAGCUUGUUGGUGAGGUAACGGCUCACCAAGGCGACGAUCCCUAGCUGGUCUGAGAGGAUGACCAGCCACACUGGAACUGAGACACGGUCCAGACUCCUACGGGAGGCAGCAGUGGGGAAUAUUGCACAAUGGGCGCAAGCCUGAUGCAGCCAUGCCGCGUGUAUGAAGAAGGCCUUCGGGUUGUAAAGUACUUUCAGCGGGGAGGAAGGUGUUGUGGUUAAUAACCGCAGCAAUUGACGUUACCCGCAGAAGAAGCACCGGCUAACUCCGUGCCAGCAGCCGCGGUAAUACGGAGGGUGCAAGCGUUAAUCGGAAUUACUGGGCGUAAAGCGCACGCAGGCGGUCUGUCAAGUCGGAUGUGAAAUCCCCGGGCUCAACCUGGGAACUGCAUUCGAAACUGGCAGGCUUGAGUCUUGUAGAGGGGGGUAGAAUUCCAGGUGUAGCGGUGAAAUGCGUAGAGAUCUGGAGGAAUACCGGUGGCGAAGGCGGCCCCCUGGACAAAGACUGACGCUCAGGUGCGAAAGCGUGGGGAGCAAACAGGAUUAGAUACCCUGGUAGUCCACGCCGUAAACGAUGUCUACUUGGAGGUUGUGCCCUUGAGGCGUGGCUUCCGGAGCUAACGCGUUAAGUAGACCGCCUGGGGAGUACGGCCGCAAGGUUAAAACUCAAAUGAAUUGACGGGGGCCCGCACAAGCGGUGGAGCAUGUGGUUUAAUUCGAUGCAACGCGAAGAACCUUACCUGGUCUUGACAUCCACAGAACUUUCCAGAGAUGGAUUGGUGCCUUCGGGAACUGUGAGACAGGUGCUGCAUGGCUGUCGUCAGCUCGUGUUGUGAAAUGUUGGGUUAAGUCCCGCAACGAGCGCAAC
rnacentral:rRNA from 1 species